rfam:Schistosoma mattheei strain Denwood, Zambia genome assembly, scaffold: SMTD_scaffold0001280
AUCCAGCUGACGAGUCCCAAAUAGGAUGAAGUGGCGCGUGUCCUGGAU